UUGACCUCGGAUCAGGCAGGGAU
rnacentral:rRNA from 1 species